GCUCUCUGUCCUGCUCUUUCACUCCCUCUCUCUCUCUUUCUGUCGCUCUCUCCCUCUCUCGCCCUCUCCCACUUGGCAGCGGUGCCGAAGUGGGCAGGGAUAAAGGAGAGAGAGCCGUUCGCAGGGCAGAGCCGAGGCCGUGGAGCUGUCCGGCUGUGGAGCCACAGCCCCUUUGCUGGAGCGCGUUUGGUUUUGCGAUCGCGCCCCUCAGUCUUUCUCUCGCGCUGCUGACUAACGGCGGCACACGCGCGUGCGACUCCGCCGCCGCCGCCGCCGCCAUCGGCCCCGCACCCCCAAAAACGGGCUCCAGAGUUCCUGUUCGUCUUCUCUCGAGCGAUCGCGCAGUAGAUGCUGUCCUUGGGGCUGAGGUAGUAGAUUGGAUAGUUGUGGGGUAUGUGCCCUCCCUCUGAGAUAACUAUGCAAUCUACUGUCUUUCCUAAGGAGACAGGCACAUCUUCCGUCGGAAAGAGAGUUACCACACUGCCUGCGAGCGGAGAAACGAAAAGCCAUUUCCUCCUGAAUCCACUCCUUUAUGAUAUUACCCCACCUGCCCUCUAAGCCCAGCCAUCACAGCUUCAGCUCAAAUAUGGUCACGCAGCCCUUUAUCCACUACAGGUACAAAUAUGUUUUGAAUGCUAGACACACUCCAUCAGGAGGCACUGUCUUUGUUUUACAAAUGGUUGUAUUUUUGACACACUGAAUGAGUAAUUCAGGGGGACAGUUGUUCAGCUGGUUAGCCCUGCAUUACAGGGUUCACAGUCCGUAGACAAGGGUAUGCAUCCCUGCCGGAGGAGUUUGGCUGCGGCCUACAUGCUGGAGGCCUGCCGUGCCCUUUCGAGGUGAGGUAGUAGGUUGUAUAGUUUGUUGGGUGGGAUCGCACCCUAUUCAGGUGAUAACUAUACAGUCUAUUGCCUUCCUCGAGAGGCACACUGACGACUGCCGGGAAACCAGGAAGCGGAAGAACACCUCAGGGCAAAGCACUGUUUCCCUGGGCGGGCCGUGCGCACGCGUCAAGGUCAAAAGUGGGAAUUUCUUCUGGAACAUUCUUUAGGUAUUUUAACUACCACUGCGAGUACUGUUGCCUCACACAGGUAGCUUCAAGCUUGGGGGCUGAGGGGAAUGAAAUACUGUUGUUGUUUUUUUUGAUUGAUGACAAAUGGUCAUCAGUUAUCAUCUUGCUUAAAUGUAUUGGAUCAGGAGAAAAAUAAAUAAAAAUGGAUUUCAUAAUCUA